UAUAGCCCUCUGAGAAACUUUAUACAGUUUUUUGUGGUAUUGUAUUCUCCUAAAUAUUGUGCAUGCUAAUAAACUUAUCUGGGGUCAGAGACAGAGCAGCCACAAUAUUAAACAUAGAAGUUAGGCAGUGGUAGCACACACCUUUAAUCCUAGCAUUCCAGAGGCAGAAAUCCAUCUGUUCAAGGAUACAGCCAAGCAUGGUGACUCAUGCCUUUAAUCCCAGAAAGCCAGCCUUUAAUCCCAGGGAGUGAUGGCAAAAACAGAAAGAUAUAUAAGGCGUGGAGACCAGAAACUAGAGGCAUUUGGCUGGUUAAGCAUUUGGCUGGUUGAGCAUUUGCCUGGUUAAUUGUUUGGCUGGUUAAGCAUUCAGGCUUCUAGCAGCAGUUCAGCUGAGAGCCAUUGGGAUGAGGACACAGAAGCUUCCAGUCUGAGGAAACAGAACCAGCUGAGGAAUUGGCAAGUACAAAUAAAAUAUCACCAUACUUGGACUUGCCUCUACUUGACGUGCCUCCUCAUGGGAUGCCUUGCCUUUGUGUGGGACCAAUUUACUUCAGAGAAGAGGAUGGGUAUUGAAGACAUUCCAUGUGGAGUUUAUCUUCUUCUUGGCAAAAGUAGCCAUUUGGUCAAGAAACUGUUCUUGCCCGGACUGCUUGACAAAAUGUUGUAUCGACUGGACAUGCAGGACCCAUAGGAAGGUGACCACUGAACUUUGCAAGGCGAGAUGGUCCUUCAGGUUCCUGCUUCUCAGAGGAGACUGCCAGAUAUUCUACAGGACACAGGGAAAAGUGAAUGAGAGACUAGGCCUAUGGGCUGAAGAAUGGAUGCCCCAACACUGCAGAGGAACUUUGAUGACUGUCCAGGCAGGCAGCUGUCUCUGUCUUUUCCAGAGUUUUGGAAGUUUCUUACAAUGUUCUUCCUGUUUUCUUAGGUACUAUUAUAUCCUUCUGAGAUUUUUGAUGUAUUUGAAACCUAGAUAGUUAUAAUAUGGUUUUCAUUGGUUAUGAUAAGAGAUAAGGUAGAUAUGAAAUUUUGGACUCACAAAUAUAGGAUAGAUAAAAUAUUUUCUUUAAUUUUACAAAAUACAAAUAGACUAGAUACUAUAAUUGUAAUUCUUGCUUGAUAUAUGUAAUUUUACUAGGUUAAAGUUAAAACCUUCCUUUUGUUUGGACAGAAAAGGGGAAGUGAUGGGAGAAUGUCUUUCUGUAUGCUGUGAAUAUGUGUUGCUCUGAUUGGUUGAUAAGUAAAGCAGUUUGGCCUAUGACAAGGCAGCUUAGAGGCAGGUGGCAAAUUCAAAGGGAGUGACAGGAAGAAGGCCGAGAGAGAUGCCAGCCCACCCACCAUCCAAGAAGCAGCAUGUAAUGGCACACAGGUAAAGUCAUGGAACAUGUGGUGACAUAUAGAUUAAGAGAAAUGGGCUGAGUUUAAAUGUAAGAGCUAGUCAGUGGUAGGCCUCACCAAUGGCCAAGCAGUUUUUUUUUAAAUACAUUUUUUAUUAAGAGAUUUUUCUAUUCAUUUUGCAUACCAACCACAGAUUACUCUGUCCUCCCUCCUCUCGCUCCCCCAGCCUUACCCCCCACCCCAACCUCCAUUCCCACCUCCUCCAAGGCAAGGUUUCCUCCCAUGAGGAGUCAGCAGAGCCUGGUACAUUCAGUUGAGGCAGGUCCAAGCCCCUCCUCCCUGCACUAAGGCUGCACAAAGUGUCUCACCAUAGGCACUAGGUUCCAAAAAGCUGGCUCAUGCACUAGGGACAGGUCCCGAUCCCACUGCCUGGGGCCCCCCUAUACUGGCCAAACAGUUUUAAUUAGUAUAAGUCUCUGCUUGUUUACUUGAGUCUGAGUGGCUGUGGACCAGGCAGGACACAGGAAAACUUCAGCUAAAUGUAACAUAGCUCAUCCUUGGCCUUGGGAGGGCUUGACUUACAAAGCACCAAAGAAACAUGACUACGCUUGUCAUGAUAGGCUAUUACAGUCUAUGACUGCCUUUCUACCCUAUGUCCCACGCCAGCUCCAGGGUAUAGAUAGAUCUUUGCUGCUAAAUUUAAAGCAAGAGAAUAUUGCUUAGCUUAAUUUUUUUGGUGAGGUUUUAGCUUGUGUUUCAUUUGCUUUGGUUUUUGGUUUUCUUUGUUUUUGUUUGAGGUUUUCUUAUUUAUUUGUUCUUUCUUUCGUUCUUGUCAUUGAAUUGAUAUUUUGCUGAUUCUGUACACUAUAUAUAAUGACUGUCAUUAUAAGCUCCAUUGAGUAAAAUGACUGUAUUUUUAUGAAUAUAAAAGCAAUUUCCCACUCUUC